UUCAUUUUGGACGUUGCCUUUCGUUGACUUUGCAAUGAGCACGGUGCUUCGGAGGAGGAACAAAGCCAGGCUUUUCUCCUACAGGACCAGCCGUGUCACGUUCGGGUCAACAAAUUAAGAAGAAGUUGAAAGCCAAGGUGGAGGAGGCUCGGACCCCACGCUUCAGUCUAGGACUGUGUUCAUUUAAAGCAGGUGACGCUGAUGCCACCGGUCCAGGGACCACGUGCGGAAACGACAGCGCCCCCCACACAUCACCGAAAACAACGGGAUCACCCUGAACGGCCAUCAACACCAGCAAGCAGCACACCUGGGCAGCGGAAAACUACUUACCAAUCAGAAGGAACAAACUCCUGACACGCACAACAACUUGGAUGAAUCUCAAAAUAAUGAUGCUGAGUGGGACGCCUGGGUGGCCCCGUCGGUUCGUGAGUUCGUGAACCUUUCGGUUCGUGGGUUCGAGCCCCGCGUCGGGCUCUGUGCUGACAGCUCAGAGCCUGGA